GCUACGGGAGGCAGCAGUGAGGAAUAUUGGUCAAUGGACGAGAGUCUGAACCAGCCAAGUAGCGUGAAGGAUGACUGCCCUAUGGGUUGUAAACUUCUUUUAUAUGGGAAUAAAACAGGGUAUGCAUACCCUCUUGUAUGUACCAUAUGAAUAAGGAUCGGCUAACUCCGUGCCAGCAGCCGCGGUAAUACGGAGGCUACAAGCGUUCUCCGGAUUUAUUGGGUUUAAAGGGUGCGUAGGUGGAUUGUUAAGUCAGAUGGGAGAGUUUGCGGCUCAACCGUAAAAUUGCAGUUAAAACUGGCAGUCUAGAGUAGAGUAGAGGUGGGCGGAAUUCGUGGUGUAGCGGUGAAAUGCUUAGAUAUCACGAAGAACUCCGAUUGCGAAGGCAGCUCACUGAACUACAUCUGACACUGAUGCUCGAAAGUGUGGGUAUCAAACAGGAUUAGAUACCCUUGUAGUC
rnacentral:rRNA from 1 species